GUAUAGGAAUCUACCUAGUAGUACGGAAUAAUUGUUGGAAACGGCAACUAAUACCGUAUACGCCCUACGGGGGAAAAAUUUAUUGCUAUUAGAUGAGCCUAUAUUAGAUUAGUUAGUUGGUGAGGUAAAGGCUUACCAAGACAAUGAUCUAUAGCUGAUCUGAGAGGAUGAUCAGCCACACCGGAACUGAGAUACGGUCCAGACUCCUGCGGGAGGCAGCAGUGGGGAAUAUUGGACAAUGGGCGAAAGCCUGAUCCAGCCAUGCCGCAUGAGUGAAGAAGGCCUUCGGGUUGUAAAGCUCUUUUAGUGAGGAAGAUAAUGACGGUACUCACAGAAGAAGUCCUGGCUAACUCCGUGUCAGCAGCCGCGGUAAUACGGAGAGGGCUAGCGUUAUUCGGAAUCAUUGGGCGUAAAGGGCGCGUAGGCGGGUUAGUAAGUUAAAAGUGAAAUCCCAAGGCUCAACCUUGGAACUGCUUUUAAAACUGCUAGUCUAGAGAUUGAAAGAGGAUAGAGGAAUUCCUAGUGUAGAGGUGAAAUUCGUAAAUAUUAGGAGGAAUACCAGUGGCGAAGGCGUCUAUCUGGUUCAAAUCUGACGCUGAGGCGCGAAGGCGUGGGGAGCAAACAGGAUUAGAUACCCUGGUAGUCCACGCUGUAAACGAUGAAUGUUAAAUAUGGGAAGUUUACUUUCUGUAUUAUAGCUAACGCGUUAAACAUUCCGCCUGGGGACUACGGUCGCAAGAUUAAAACUCAAAGGAAUUGACGGGGACCCGCACAAGCGGUGGAGCAUGUGGUUUAAUUCGAUGCAAC
rnacentral:rRNA from 1 species